rnacentral:rRNA from 1 species
AGAUUACAGGCCUAACACAUGCAAGUCGAGGGGCAGCAUGACGAUAGCUUGCUUUUGUUGAUGGCGACCGGCGCACGGGUGAGUAACGCGUAUCCAACCUUCCCUGUAGUAGAGGAUAGCCCGGCGAAAGUCGGAUUAAUACUCUAUGUUGUAUUAUGAGACAUCUGAGAAUAACAAAGGUUUACCGCUAUAGGAUGGGGAUGCGUCUGAUUAGUUGUCGGCGGGGUAACGGCCCACCGAGUCACGAUCUUUAUUUUUUUCUGAGAGGAAGGUCCCCCACAUUGGAACUGAGACACGGACCAAACUCCUACGGGAGGCAGCAGUGAGGAUAUUGGUCAUGGACGCAAGCUGAACCAGCCAAGUAGCG